rnacentral:tRNA from 1 species
CAGGGCGUGGUCUAGUAGCUAAGACGCCGGCUUCGGGAGUCGGAAAUCGAGAGUGCAAGUCUCUCCGCCCUGA